rnacentral:rRNA from 1 species
AUGCGUGAUCAGGUCGGCCUGGACCUAGAUGGCUUCCCUCUCGACCAUGAGUUCCCGGAGGACUACGGGCUAGAGGAAGAGGAUGAGUGCGACAUCGAAGGGGAGCCUUUGUUCGAGGACGAGCUCGCCAACCAAGCCACCGGAUCGAAGCCGAAGCGCAAGAGCAAGCGGACCAAGGCAUACACGACGGCCGAGGACAAACUUCUUUGCGAGUGUUGGAGAGACAUUGGGCAAGACCCCAAGACGGGCGCCGAACAAAAGCAUUCAACUUUUUGA